rnacentral:lncRNA from 1 species
AGGGUCUCUGGAGGCAGAUAGGGCUCUGCGGGCUCGUCACAGGGAGCCAGGACACGCUCGCUCACACCCGGGGCUGCCGAGGCCAGGGCAGGCCGGCUACGCAGAGCUGUUCCUUCCCCGGAAGCAGGUCUAGGACCAGAAGCGCUUCCCCCUGCAUCCCCCGCCCUGCGGAGGGAGGGCGCAGAGGAAAGGCUCCGACAGAGAGAGCGGCGGGCUUUCCGGGGUUAAGGAAGGCCCACGAGGACAAGCAAGUGGGGUCACCAGCCAGCAGGAGAGAAGCAACGAGCGGCGAGCGUCAGGGACAAGUGGGAGAUGGCCUAGCAAACAUUUGUUUACCAGACAUUUGCUUUUCCAUCUCGAUGUGAAUUGCUUUCCUCCCCUUUGAAGUCCCAAACCACUACCCACAACAUCUUCCUUUGUCUUUAGCUGAAGACGAUAUGUAAGGUGGUGGCUUCAGCCAUUUUGGUGAGUUACUCAGUUUUCCUGGGUUACUCCCAUGUAUACCUGUUAUUAAAUGUGUUUGAUUUUCU